GAAUGUGAUCCAUUGGUGGUUGUUGGAGUUGACAGAACAGUUAAACAGAUGAUGAUUCCUUACGUGCCUAUGUUGGUGCCACCCAAAAAAUGGAGAGGGUAUGACAAAGGAGGAUACUUGUUCUUGCCUUCGUAUUUGAUGCGCACUCAUGGAUCUAGGAGGCAACAAGAUGCUGUACGAAGUGUUCCCGCGAAACAAAUGCAGCAAGUUUAUGAGGCCUUGGAUACCUUAGGAAGCACUAAAUGGAGAGUGAAUAAAAGGAUACUUAGUGUGGUUGAGACUAUUUGGGCUGGAGGAGGAAAUAUUGCUGGCCUAGUGGAUCGCAAAGAUGUAA
rnacentral:misc_RNA from 1 species